GUGCUUGCUUUGGCAGCACAUAUGCUAAAAUUGGAACAAUACAGAGAAGA
rnacentral:snRNA from 1 species